UACCUUCGUCUAGCGCACUUAACACCGGUCGCCGGUUGGAUUGUAAUGAAGAGUGGAACUGUUCUUCAUGACUAGCAUCGAAACCAGCAAGGAUCUAAAGUCCGUUUACGAUUUUGUUGUGAAGGUUUGUUUAUUUUUGUUGGUGUUUCAUUCACUUGACUAUACUUCAUGUUAUUUUUAUCUGCCUUGACUCUAUUUUGGUAAACCCAAACAAAUAUUCAAGAUGCUAAGGGCGAUGACAUAGAUCUUUCCAGUUACAAAGGAAAAGUCUUACUCAUUGUCAAUGUUGCUUCUAAGUGUGGCAUGACCAACCCAAAUUAUGCGGAGUUGAAUCAACUAUAUCACAAGUAUAAACACAAAGGUCUUUGGUAGAUUUGGAGGGAUAGAAACAAUAAUAUUUUUAAUCAGAAUGACAUUUGAAGCAAGGAGAAAGUUCUCAAGCUUAUCAAGCACUCUGCAGCCGAGUAUGCUGCAAUCAAGCGUUUUAAUCAGGUGACACAUCAUCCCUCUUUAUGUGAUUCGUGUGUCCUCGCCCAAUCAAUGUUGUUAAAUUAAAUUGUGAUGCUAGUCUUUUGGAACAAGAUCAUCUGGUUGGUUUUGGGUGUGUUAUUUGGGACAAUACGGGUAAAUGGUUAUUGGGUUGUUCAACAAGCAUUCCAAAAGAAACUAUUAUUUGGUGUGAGAUAUUCGCAAUUUGGAGGGGUCUUUGUUUGGCUUGGAAAAGUGGUCACAAGGAGGUAAUUUAUGAAACAGAUUGUCUAGAAGCUUAUCUCUUGAUUAAAAAGGAUUCAUCCCAGAUGCAGAGAGAAUACACAGACAUUCUUUUAAAGAUUUCUGAGAUGCUGCAGUAAAAUUGGGUGGUUCAAGUUCAAUUGAUUCAAUGAACAGCGAACUCGACCUUUUUACUAAGACAGCGGCUAGUCAUUCUCGUCCUUACAUUGAAUUUUUAAUUCCUUGUAGUGUUAUUGAUCAGAUCAUUAGGAAGGAGAUGAUACCUCCAUCUUAGUUGCUCUUUGUUCUUUCUUUUAUCAGACACAA